rnacentral:rRNA from 1 species
UGUAUGCGAGUCAUGGGUCUUGAUAAGCCCAGAGGCGCAAUGAAAGCGAAGGCCGGAGGACUCCGGCCGUGUCGGGAUCCCUGGUCCUCUGUGAUCGGGGCGCACCGGCGACCCGCCCCUAUCCGCUCGCGGGUGAGGCGGAGUCUGAGCAUACACGUUGUGACCCGAAAGAUGGUGAACUAUGCCCGGACAGGACGAGGCCAGAGGAAACUCUGGUGGAGGUCCGUAGCGAUUCUGACGUGCAAAUCGAUCGUCAGAUCUGGGUCUAGGGGCGAAAGACUAAUCGAACCAUCUA